AGGGUAUGGCGCAGCAACGUUGCUGGUUUGCGAGACGGUGUCGUUGGUGGUGGAGGCGGCUGCCUAGAGUGACGGGGCAGCGACGGUCGCGAUGGCGAGGCCUCGGCUUCCCAGAUCUGGUGUGGCGUUGGCGGGUCAGUCUCGGCACAGCGUCGGGGCGGGGAGCAGCAGCAGAACCUCACUUCUCCGGCUAACCUCGCUCGGCCUCUACCCUCAGAUCUGACCCUUCACGCUCAGAUCUCUCCCUCUCAAGCUCACCUGCUCGCGGAUCUGGGUUCGCUUGCCGCCGGCCUCCCCCGAUGUCUCUCGGUGGGAGGUCGUUUAGCUUGCGACCCGAUCCUCCGCCCUCUUGGCUUGCUCUUCGAUUUCUCCCUUGAAGUCUCUCAAAGGGAAGAUCUCGGAGUUCGCCGUGUGUGUUUCGACGGAGGAGGUGCCUC
rnacentral:lncRNA from 1 species